rnacentral:misc_RNA from 1 species
UACAGAGGGUGCGAGCGUUACUCGGAUUUACUGGGCGUAACGCGAGCGUAGGCGGCUUUUUAAGUCGGCUGUGAACUCCCCGAGCUUACUUUGGGAAUUGCAUUCGAUACUGGGAAGCUAGAGUAUGGGAGAGGAUGGUAGAAUUCCAGGUGUAGCGGUGAAAUGCGUAGAGAUCUGGAGGAAUACCGAUGGCGAAGGCAGCCAUCUGGCCUAAUACUGACGCUGAGGUACGGAAGCAUGGGGAGCAAACAGG